UGAGCUUAAACUGAACGUGUUGGGAAGUGAAUUAUAUUUUUGAAUUUAUGAAAACUGACUUGGAAACUUUGAAAAUGAACUAAAAAUGAGUUUAUUUUCUUUGUCUUUCUCUGCUUAUUGUAAAUAAAACGUUAUCCACUCUGUGGCAUUUCGUUGUUCAUGUCUUAUUACAACAAUUUUAACCGCCAUUUUGGAGAAUAUUUUAGUUAUUUGUGUUAAACUUGGAAAUGUUAACGUGAAAAAAACUGAACCAAACGAAGAAAAAGUAGAAGCAAUACAUUCAUUCUGUGCUUGAUCUCAUAAGAUAAAUCGUAUUUCACCACCAACCUAUGUUGUCAAAACGACAACAAUGAAUUGAGAAGAUGGUUUAAAAGCUUUGGAAACUUCAAUCAAAACCAUUAAAGAAGUCGUUAUGAACAAGAAAGCCAAAGGUUGUCACAGAUAUGAAUGAAGAAGAUUUUGCAAAGGAACUGGAAAAACUUGAACGUCAAAAUGCAGAAGUUGAUGGUGAUGAUGAUAAUCCUGAUGAUGAAGAAGAAGAUGAAGCAAAAAUGAUUGUGGAUUUUUCUUUGGCUUGAUAAUUCCUCGAGAUUUUGAUUGGUUGUGGGAAACAGUUUUACUUCCGAGAGUUACAAGUCAGAAACAGAAAAAUAAAGGAAUGCGGGCAACGUAACGAGUGUCACAAAGGCGAAGGAUUCUUAUUGUCUCGAUUUUCAAAGCGUGCAAACGAGACUUUCAACUUGAUUUGUACAUUUUUACCUUCGUGGCUAACUUGGCUUCAGUAAAAAAAGCAUAAACAUGGGUUGCAAGCUUUGCAAGAAAUUCAACAACAAGAGAAGGUCGGAACAUGGGGAACAUGAGGUAAGCAAUGGUGAACAAAAUGUUCAAGAUCGUCUUGGUGAAGUGACGGCAGGAAUAGAAAAUGGUAGAAGACGUCAUCCCAUACAAGAGACUCUUAUUGAGGAAUUCAAUUUUUUACCUCAUGUUUUGGAUUUGAUAAGAGAACAUGGAUAUACGAUGGAAGCGCUGGAUGAUUUUGUGUUGAAUGUUCAGUCAACACAAGAAGAAGUUUAAAUCUGAAUGUAUUAGUUACCAACUUUCAGGUCCGUUUUUCAAACUUUGCAUUUUACAUGAGCCGAAUGCAUUUAAAACAAAAGUUAGCAAGGAAUUUAUCUAAUUUUUUUGUGUCUUGAAUGCAUUUGGCGUAUGUAAAAUGCCGUAAAUGAUAAUAUAUAGAAAGAACCAUUCACUAUAUUAUAGUAAAAAUAACCAUUCACUAUAUAAUAGUGUAAAAUGCAAACACUUGAAAACGCAUCUUGUUUCAAUAACGGAAACUUUCAGGAACAUAUUUGUUUAUAUCUUGUGUAGCUAAUUGACAAUUAAUUAAUGUAACCAUCAUCAGUAACCUUACUUUGAACUUUUGUAUGUAAAGAUAUACUGUAUUUAUUUUUUUAUUUAUGUCAUUAACUUUGAAUGGAAUGAUAAUUUUUGAUGUAACAGUUUUAACAGUGUUUUUAACAUCAAACCGUUCACCGUUUUCUUUCGAAGUGUUCCUAGUAGACUAAAGCAGUUGAUUUCAAAACAAGCCAAACAAUAAUGGUAAAUUCUGGUUAUUUAAAAACAACGAGAAGAUAUUGUAAACUGCUACACAAAUGCAGAAUGAUUUGAUAAAUUGUUUAAUGUA